rnacentral:misc_RNA from 1 species
GCAAACUUGGUCAUUUAGAGGAAGUAAAAGUCGUAACAAGGUUUCCGUAGGUGAACCUGCGGAAGGAUCAUUACCAAAAAACAAUGUCCGGCCCUCCUUCCCUUCUCGGAGGGGGGGAGGGCUCGGGCGAGACUCGUGGCCGUCCUCCGGGGCGGUCCGGAUCUCUAUACCCUUUGUGAAAAACCCAAGUUGCUUCGGCAGCUCGUCCCGGCUCCCCUUCCACGGGGAACGGGGCGGUCAGCCUGCCGACAGCCCCCCAAGGAAACCCUUUUUGUGAAAGUUAGCAUUUACAUCGUCUGAUCGAAACUGUCGAAUGACUAUAAAACUUUCAACAACGGAUCUCUUGGUUCCCGCAUCAAUGAAGAACGCAGC